rnacentral:rRNA from 1 species
UACGUAGGGUGCAAGCGUUGUCCGGAAUUAUUGGGCGUAAAGAGCUCGUAGGCGGUCUGUCGCGUCGGCUGUGAAAACCCGGAGCUCAACUCCGGGCCUGCAGUCGAUACGGGCAGACUGGAGUUCGGCAGGGGAGACUGGAAUUCCUGGUGUAGCGGUGAAAUGCGCAGAUACCAGGAAGAACACCCGUGGCUAAGGCGGCUCUCUAGUACGGUACUGACGCUGAGACGCGAAAGCGUGGGGAGCGAACAGG